rnacentral:rRNA from 1 species
GAUGAACGCUGGCGGCGUGCCUAAUACAUGCAAGUCGAGCGAAUGGAUUAAGAGCUUGCUCUUAUGAAGUUAGCGGCGGACGGGUGAGUAACACGUGGGUAACCUGCCCAUAAGACUGGGAUAACUCCGGGAAACCGGGGCUAAUACCGGAUAACAUUUUGAACCGCAUGGUUCGAAAUUGAAAGGCGGCUUCGGCUGUCACUUAUGGAUGGACCCGCGUCGCAUUAGCUAGUUGGUGAGGUAACGGCUCACCAAGGCAACGAUGCGUAGCCGGCGUGAGAGGGUGAUGGGCCACACUGGGACGGAGACACGGCCCAGACUCCUACGGGAGGCAGCAGUAGGGAAUCUUCCGCAAUGGACGAAAGUCUGACGGAGCAACGCCGCGUGAGUGAUGAAGGCUUUCGGGUCGUAAAACUCUGUUGUUAGGGAAGAACAAGUGCUAGUUGAAUAAGCUGGCACCUUGACGGUACCUAACCAGAAAGCCACGGCUAACUACGUGCCAGCCGCCGCCGUAA